GAAACCUGGUUGAUCCUGCCAGUAGUCAUACGCUCGUCUCAAAGAUUAAGCCAUGCAUGUCUAAGUAUAAACAAUUUUUACUGUGAAACUGCGAAUGGCUCAUUAUAUCAGUUAUAGUCUACUUGAUAGUACCUUACUACACGGAUAACCGUAGUAAUUCUAGAGCUAAUACGUGCUUAACGGUCAACUGCUUG
rnacentral:rRNA from 1 species